rnacentral:rRNA from 1 species
GAUGAACGCUAGCGACAGGCUUAACACAUGCAAGUCGAGGGGCAGCAUGAUUUGUAGCAAUACAGAUUGAUGGCGACCGGCGCACGGGUGAGUAACACGUAUCCAACCUGCCGACAACACUGGGAUAGCCUUUCGAAAGAAAGAUUAAUACCGGAUGGCAUAGUUUCCCGCAUGGGAUAAUUAUUAAAGAAUUUCGGUUGUCGAUGGGGAUGCGUUCCAUUAGGCAGUUGGCGGGUAACGGCCCACCAAACCAACGAUGGAUAGGGGUUCUGAGAGGAAGGUCCCCCCACAUUGGAACUGAGACACGGUCCAAACUCCUACGGGAGGCAGCAGUGAGGAAUAUUGGUCAAUGGACGAGAGUCUGAACCAGCCAAGUAGCGUGAAGGAUGACUGCCCUAUGGGUUGUAAACUUCUUUUAUACGGGAAUAAGUUAGCCACGUGUGGUUUUUUAGUAUGUACCGUAUGAAUAAGGAUCGGCUAACUCCGUGCCAGCAGCCGCGGU